rnacentral:rRNA from 1 species
AUUGAACGCUGGCGGCAUGCUUUACACAUGCAAGUCGAACGGCAGCGCGGGCCUCGGCCUGGCGGCGAGUGGCGAACGGGUGAGUAAUACAUCGGAACGUGCCCAGCAGGGGAGGAUAGCUCGGCGAAAGCCGGAUUAAUACCGCAUACGACCUGAGGGUGAAAGCGGGGGAUCUUCGGACCUCGCGCUAUUGGAGCGGCCGAUGGCCGAUUAGCUAGUUGGUGGGGUAAAGGCCUACCAAGGCGACGAUCUGUAGCUGGUCUGACAGGACGACCGGCCACACUGGGACUGAGACACGGCCCAGACUCCUACGGGAGGCAGCAGUGGGGAAUUUUGGACAAUGGGCGAAAGCCUGAUCCAGCAAUGCCGCGUGUGUGAUGAAGGCCUUCGGGUUGUAAAGCACUUUUGGCGGGAACGAAAAGGACUGUGCCAAUACCACGGUUCGAUGACGGUACCCGCAGAAUAAGCACCGGCUAACUACGUG